UUUAAGAGACAGGAUCUCGCUGUACUUCUCAGGCUAGUCUUGAACUCCUGGCCUCAAGUGAUCCUUCUGCCUUAGCCUCCUGAGUGGCUGGCUCCACUAUGCUUGGCUCUGAUAUUUUUCCAUAAAGCCUAUCAUUCAUUUAUCAUGGAGGUAUGUUAAUUUUGCCUUCUUAAUUUCUCUCAAAUUCACCUGCUCUUUGCCUACGGUCAUCUACCCUGAUCUGGGGCAAUGCAGUUUCUUCCCAGCGCUGUUGCUGUAGCAUCGCAGUGGAUCACCCUUCCUUUAGUCUUGUUCCCCUCUGGUUCUUUCUCUCCACUAGACUUUAAAAAUUUUUUGAGAUAGGGUCUUGCUUUGUUGCCCAGGAUGGAGAACAAUCACAGCUCACUGCAGCCACGACUUCCUGGGCUCAAAUGAUCCUCCCACCUCAGCCUCCCGAGCAGCUGGGACCACUUGUGCUUGCUAGGAUGCCUGGCUAAUUUUUAAUUUUUUUGUAGAGAUGAGGUCUCACUAUGUUGCCUAGGCUAGUCUCAAACUGCCAGGCUCAAGCAAUCCUCUUGCUUCAAACCUCCCAAAGUGUUGGGAUUACAGGCAUGAGCCACUGUACCUGGCCUAGUGGACUUCUAAAGCAUAAAUCUGUUCUGUUACUUUCCAGCUAAAAACCAACAAGUGUCUGAGGACACAGUUUAAACUCCAAGAUGAUAGGGUCCUCCCUGACCUGGGCUCCCACCUACCCUCAUGACCUCCUUUUGUGAAAUGCUGAAGGGCUCUGCAGCUGGUUGUCUGGUACUGCUGGCCUCUGCUUUCUAUUUACAUGUUCCUUCUCCCACAAAACAAAAUCACAUUCUCACUACCCCCUGCUCAUUCUUCAGGGCUGUCUUCUGGGAAACUUUUACUAAAUACCCCUCUCCCCCUAAUCUGAGUGCCUGCUUUGCUCAGGUAGCAUGUGUUCACUGGAUAAAUCCUUGGUUCCUGGCACUGAGGCAGGGUUUCUGUUCCCAGGAAGCAGAGGCAUACUAUUCUGUAAAGGAUUGACUGAGUUUCUCAUAAUACCAAGCAGUACCUGAGGGAACGGAUGUCUAGCUUAAAAUCCUCCCUAGCACUUGUCAUAGCAGUGCUACGUAUUGACUGUGAAGGAAGUUUAAUAACUGCUGAAAGGUUCGAUUAGCUUUAUUUCAUCAGGAUUUUAUUUCAACUUUUAGGUCUAGUCUUAAGUAUAACUGGUACGUAUUCCUUCAAGCAGCCAUUACACCUUUCAUAAAUUUAUACACCUGCAUUUUUAUAACUAUUAUACUUUUUAAUCGUUGGCCACCAUUUUUAAUGCUUCUGAAUUGUUAUGGUUCUCAAGCAGCAGUUGUCACCUUGGUUUUGAAUUAAUGCUGUGACGCUUGCUUCCAGGACCCCUAUGGUGUAGCCGUGGGUGGAACUGUGGGGCACUGCCUGUGCACGGGAUUGGCAGUAAUUGGAGGAAGAAUGAUAGCACAGAAAAUCUCUGUCAGAACUGUGACAAUCAUAGGAGGCAUCGUUUUUUUGGCGUUUGCAUUUUCUGCACUAUUUAUAAGCCCUGAUUCUGGUUUUUAACAAGCUGUUUGCUCAUCUGUAUUUAGUUUAAAAUAGGUAAUAUUAUCUUUCUGUACAUAGUGUACAUUACAACUAAAAGUGAUGGAAAAAUACUGUAUUUUGUAGCACUGAUUUUGUGAGUUUGACCCAUUAUUAUGUCUGAGAUAUACUCAUUGAUUCUAUUUGUAACAAGGAGUUUU
rnacentral:sRNA from 1 species